CCAGAGACCACCCCUUCCGACUAGAAGAAAGGAACUUUCAUUUGAAGCAAUGUUGGUGAUCUGAUUUACAAGCAAAACUCCAUCAGUAGCUGUUGAGAUUAUCCACUAUAUUUCAAUCGUUUUCAAAUAGAACAGCUAUCACUGAUCACAGCCCUCAUUGAAGGAAAUUCUGAGUACAAAGAGCAGUUUGCCAUUCAUAUCUGAUAUUUUUACAUGUUUGCCUAUUCCAAUAUUGGAUUCAUGGCCUGAUUAAGAACUCUUAAAACUUUCCUGUUCGGCGCCUGAGGUGAUGGAAGCACAGAGGUAGAGCUCCUGCUUACCAGGGUCUAGAGUCGGCACAUAGAAGCAGUUCUCUUCAUUUGAAAUUUGUUCGUGUUGGUUCCCGGAGUGAGGAGAGCCAGAGGAGAAGAGAGGAAGCAGGUUUUUUGGUGAUUUGGCUUCGUAUGACUGCUGAGGUGUUCCUGAUGUGCUGAGCUCUUUAGUUACCUCACAUUCUGCCAUUGCAUUUGUCAAGCCCACGCUGUUUUCGAGAUUCACCUGUGAACUUGCGGUUCUCUUAACCGGGGGCUCUGCUGCAUACUGGUUAUAUACUACAUUUUGAGUCAGUUGUGGCAAGUUCUAAGCAACAUAUUUCUAACAAAAUGGUGGCCUCUGAUUUCCUGCUGGGACACUGAGUUAUCAGCUAACUUAGUCAGAGCUGCUUGCUGAGUCUUAUUUUGUGUCACAUUGUCUCAAUCUUAGUGACAGGAAUUUGUCACAAAAAAACAGUUAUCUCUCUGCUGACUAAGACUAAACAUUGUUAGUGAUUGCUGUCCUCACUGAUACUUUUGUUACACCUUUAUUGUAUACAAUGUUGCAAUUGCUUGAGGAGGAUUGUAACCAUAGCAACAAAUCAAUGGUUACUUCUUUGUGAAAGGAAAACAGAGACAAAGAAUAAAACAAAAAGGAAAAAUUGACUUGUAAUAAAAGUUAUUAAUAUUGGGAUUGUGCUCUGGUUUUCUAAUAUAUGAAAACGUAUUCUCCUUCCUUCACAAUGUCUUCUAAAGCUAAUGGCAAAACAUAUGAGAAGGCUAACAAGAAAAAUGUAAAGCUACAGGAUAGGGAUACUAAUAUUUUCUUAUCUCACAACUCUGCUCCUACAAGAACAUCUUUAUCUGACGACUACUCUCUUAUUGCUGCUGAAGUAGCCAGACUCAUCAAUCCAGUUAUAGAGUCAACAAUUAGUAAGGCCAUUGACAAACUGCAGAUCAAAAUUACUAGCAUCUCAGAAAAGCUCUCUACACAUGAUAAAAGAUUUGGCGAGAUCGAGGAUGUGGUUGCUCAACUCCAAGAUGAUAUGAUUGAUUCUUCAUCCAGGUUGGACUCUUUAGAGAAACAAAAUCAAGAGCUUAAGUUGAAAGUGGAUGACCUGGAAAAUUGAUCUCGGAGAAACAAUCUCAGAUUCAUAAACAUACCUGAAUCUUUCCAGAAUGAUUCCUUAAACAUGUUAAUUUCCAAAACAAUUCCCAUCAAAUUGGGUCUUCCUCAGGAUUGUCAAUGUUUCAAAAUAGAGAGACUUCAUAGGAUUGGUCCACCUAAAGAUCUCCAACCCAUGAGACCAAGAGCAGUAAUUGUCAAAUACCUGGACUACACAGAUAAAAAUAGAUUAUUUCAAGCCUACAAAAAAUUGAAUACACUUGAUGUUGAAGGAAAUAAAAUUUUGAUAUUUCAAGACUACUCAUUGCUUCUGUCUCAAAAACAAAAGGAAUUUUCCAAAACUUGCCAAUCACUGGCUAAUCUUCAUAUCAAUUUUGCCUUGAUGUAUCCUGCUAAACUUAAGAUUUUUCUGCCUUCUGGAGCCAGGGUUUUUAGUGAUCCUAGAGAGGCGCACACUUUUGUUUCACAUAUGGAAAAGAAGAAUAAUGGAAAUCUUGCUUUGGUAACACCAUCUAACUCAAAACGUGGCUCUCCCCCAAAGGAUCAAAGAUGGAAGAGAUACGAUACCCCUCAACAGUCUAGAUUUUCUAAGGACUCAAAACCUUCUCAAGUUCAGACCAAAUCUAGGUCUAGGUCGAGAUCUCCACUUCCUCCUAGAACAGGCAGUCUUCCACAUGCCAGUGAAGAAGAUAUGAUCCCUGAUACUUGACUCUAAAAGGGAAUAAACUUUUUCUUCAAUAUGACCCUGUAGUGGGUGUUAUAUUCUCUGUUUAACUCGUCUCAUAGAGAGAGAGUUGUUAGUUUUCCAUCCUUAGGGAAAAAAGGAAGUGUCCUAUUACUUAGUAUACCAAAUUUGUUAUUCGGUUCUAUAAGUCACUAUCUUUUAAUUUUACAUGUUAUUACUGAUCAGUAUUGUUUGCUCUGUUUUGUUUAUACCAGUGGAUGUAGCUAUAUAUGUAUUAUUUUACUUAAAUCAGCUCAAGCUCAUCUUUCAGGUUGAUGUCUUCAUCUAGAUCAUAUUCCUUGUCCUUUGUUCCCUGGAAUGUCAAUGGAUUAAAUCACUUUUCUAAGAGAAGGAGUAUACUUAGUAGUUUAAAAAAUACCAAAUGUGACAUAGCAUUCCUACAAGAAACCCAUCUUAAUGGUUCAGAGAAUGCUUGGUUGAAAAAAGAUUGGGUUGGUGAGCUAGCCUUCUCCCCUGCUGUUAAGAAAAAAUGUGGAGUAGCUAUUUUAUUUCAUCGUAAACUGAAUGUUGCUAUAACAAAGUCGAUAGAAGAUGAACUUGGCAGAUUUAUUUACACUGAAGUACUCAUUAAUGAUGUUGUGUGGCACUUGUGUUCCGUUUAUGCUCCAAAUAGUUCUAAGUCUGAUUAUUUUAAUUGGCUCAAAAAACAAAUUUCUAUGCUUCCUGCUAACAAUAUAAUUCUAGCAGGAGAUUUAAAUGAGUCUUUUCUUAGUUCUUUAGACAGAUCGGAUUGAAAAUUGAAUAAUCCUUGUAAGAAAUCUAUGCUCCUACAUAAUUUUUGCAGAGAUACUAACCUUAAUGAUGUUUGGAGACUUUUUCACCCUGCUGAAAAAGAUUUUACCUUUUUCUCAUCUGCUCAUCAUGUAGGUACAAGAAUAGAUUAUUUUCUAAUUUCCAAUAAUCUGAUAAAUAGAACUAUUGAAGCAACUAUAGGAGAAAUUAAUAUCUCAGACCAUGCACCAAUCUCAUUUGUGGUCUCCAUUUCACCUGCACCUAGAAACUAUGUCUCUUGGUCCUUUCCUGAUUCACUUAAAGAUAAUCCAGACUUCAUUAAGAUGCUACAUAGCAGAUGGGAUUUGUUUUUCAAGGAAAACAAAUUACAUUCAAAAGAUCCAUCCUUAUUAUGGGAAACUUGGAAGGCAGUGGUUAGAGGGGAAAUAUCUUCUUUUAAAUCUCACUUCUUUAGGAAAGUUCACAAAAACUUUCUUGAGUUGAGUAAAAGACAAAGCAUCUCUUACAUUCGAUUUAAACAACAUCCCUCAUUUGAGAAUGCUCAAAAAUAUAAGAAUAUUUUAGAUGAACUUAAAAUAUGGAUUAAAUUGAGACAAAAUUUUUUUGCAUCUUUUUCGCAGGCUAGGCUUAAAAACUUAAGUAACAAAGCAAAUAAUUUGCUUUUUAAUCUUACCAAGGCUGAAAAUAAGCAGGCUAAAUUUAUUAAGAUUAAAGAUACUCAUGAUCAGCUAACAAAUGAUACCAAUAAAAUUGUAAGCAUUUUCAAAGAUUUUUAAAAAAGAUUUGUACUCUAAUCCAAAUAUAAACUUUGAGAAAAUGCAAGAAUUCUUUGUAAAUUGUAAAAUCCCCCAGAUUUCAAAGGGUCAGUUUGAAAAGCUAAAUAGUCCAAUUUCCUCUGAGGAAGUGUCCACUAUUAUUAAUAAUCUGAAAACUGCAAAAUUAUGAAAGAUAAAAUCUCACCCUUUUUAACAAACCUAUUCAAUGAUAUAUUAUUCUUUGGAAAGAGCCUACCUUCUAGUGAAAUAUCAAAUCUUAGAGUUAUCCCAAAAAAAGACAAAGACUUAUCCCUUCCCUCCUCCUAUAGGCCUAUUUCCUUGUUAAAUCAAGAUAUCAAGAUACUAUCCAAGGUCCUUGCCGAUAGGCUUUCUUUAAUUCUUCCCUCUAUAAUAUCCGAGGCCCAAAAUGGUUUUAUUAAGAAUAGGUCAGGAGUAAAGAAUAUUAGGGCUCUGAUCCAUAUCUUAUACUUCGCCAAAAAACAUAAAAUCCCCAGUUCUAUUUUUAAUAUUGAUGCUGAAAAGGCGUUUGAUAAUAUUACCUGGGAUCAUCUAUUUGUUUGCCUUAAGAAAUUUGGUAUCACAGGCCCCUUUUUCCAAUAUAUCAAAUAUCUUUACAAAAAUCCCAGAACACAAAUAAUUUUGGGGGGAGCUAGGUCGCCACCUUUUGAAAUAUUUAAAGGGACAAGACAGGGCUGUCCUUUGUCGCCCCUUUUAUUUAAUAUUGCUCUAGAACCACUAAUUCGUUUCCUUGAUCAAUCCAAGUCAAUUUCGGGAAUUACCAUUAAUAGAAGACAUCUCAAGGUAUUAGCCUUUGCCGACGACUUAUUACUAAUUUUAAAAAAUCCUGAGUCCUCACUUAAGGUUGUUUUUGAUUUAUUCCAAGACUUUCAGUCCUUCUCUGGUUAUAAAAUUAAUGUUGAGAAAUCGGAAGUAAUGAAUAUUUAUGGUUCUUUUUCUAAAUCUUUACUUAAGAAAUUCCAACUUAAAAACCCAAAGAAUCAGAUCAAAUAUUUAGGAUUAAUAAUUCCAUCAGAUCUAAAUAAUUUAUAUUCUUUGAAUAUCACUCCAGCCUGUCAAAAGGUUUUUUCCAUGUGUGAAAAAUGGGCUAAUUCUCCCCUUAAUAUAAAGGGACGAGCACUCUUUUUUAAAUCUUUGAUAUUUCCCAAGUUAAUAUAUCCAUUAAUUAAUCUCCCCUUGCUUAUAAAACAUUUUGAUAUUAAGAAACUUGACUCUGCCUUAAAUAAAUUUAUUUGGAAUGGUAAAAAGGCAAAAAUUGCACUUCAUAAAUUAAGAGCUCCAGUUAAACUAGGAGGGUUAAAUCUUCCUAACUUUAGAGCUUUUAAUUUAUCAGCCCUCACUAGAUACUGUAUUGAGUGGAUCUCUCAAGGCAAUAAAUUUACAAACCCUGACAUUGAGAUCUUUCAAGAACCCUUCUUUGAUAUUUUAUCUGUUUUACAUAGCAAAUGGGGAAAUGUUCCUUGUGACUUUGAAAGGAAUCCUCUUUAUCGUGAUUCUAUUUUUGUGUGGAAACAUUUAUUCUCUCAACAUGGGUAUAGUUAUACAGAAACCCCUUUCAUGCCAGCAAAGCUCUUACUUAAACCCUCAGAUUAUCAAAAGUCUGAUUCCUUUCUAUUUUCUGCUAAGAGAAAUUUACUAGUCUUAGUUAAAGACUUAUUUGAUCCACAUAAGAAAACUUUAUUGUCUUGGUCAAAACUCAAAAAUGAGUACAAGCUUAAUGAAUCUGAUAGAUAUUAUUACUUAGCUUGUCAAUGCGGUCUUUCUCUACUGCAUGAUAAAAACAAUUUGAUUUUAGCUGACCACAAGCUAGCAGAUGAUUUGGCAGAAUUUUUGGAACUCCCCUGUUUGAUUUCAAUUAACUCUUUAUCUAAAAAAUUUUGGAAUAUUUAUGGUACAGACUCACAUCCAUUAUCUAAA